UACGGAGGGUGCAAGCGUUAAUCGGAAUUACUGGGCGUAAAGCGUGCGUAGGUGGUUGAUUAAGUUAUCUGUGAAAUCCCUGGGCUCAACCUGGGCAGGUCAGAUGAUACUGGUUGACUCGAGUAUGGGAGAGGGUAGUGGAAUUUCCGGUGUAGCGGUGAAAUGCGUAGAGAUCGGAAGGAACACCAGUGGCGAAGGCGGCUACCUGGCCUAAUACUGACACUGAGGCACGAAAGCGUGGGGAGCAAACAGG
rnacentral:rRNA from 1 species